rnacentral:rRNA from 1 species
AAGUUUCAACAACGGAUCUCUUGGCUCUCGCAUCGAUGAAGAACGCAGCGAAAUGCGAUAAGUAAUGUGAAUUGCAAAAUUCAGUGAAUCAUCGAAUCUUUGAACGCACCUUGCGCUCCUUGGUAUUCCUCGGAGCACGCCUGUUUGAGUAUCAU